AAAAUCCUAAUUCUAAUAGAAUAUUAAUAAUACUCUAAUUAGACUUUAAUAAUGCUAAAAAAGCUUAAUCAAAUUCAAAAAAACCUCAAAGAAAUUUCAAACAAACAAUAAGAAUUCUUAAAGAAACAUUAGAAAGAAUACAAAUAUCACUCAAAUACAUCUCAAUUCAAUCUUAAUUUAAUUCUAGUUAAAAUCCUAUUGAACUCCAUUCAAACUUUAGGCCAAAACUAAUUGAAUCUUAAAUCCUAAUAAAAUCUUAAAUCCUAAAUCAAACCCUAAAUAAACCUUAAAUCAAAUCCCAACCAAAUCCUAAACCAAAUCCUAAUCUAAAUCUUAAACCCUAAACCAAAUCCUAAUUCAAAUUCUAAACUCUAAAUCAAAUGCUAAUAAAACCCUAAAUCUUAAAUCAAGCCCUAACCAAAUCCUAAACUAAUCCCUAAUCUAAAUUCUAAAUCCUAAAUCAAAUCUUAAAUCCUAAAAUAAACCCUAAUCAAACCCUAAAUCCUAAAUCAAAUCCUAACCAAAUCCUAAACCCAAAAUAAAAUCCUAACCAAACCCUAAAUCAAACCCUAAUCCAAAUCCUAACCAAAUCCUAAAUCCUAAAUCAAAUCCUAAUCUAAAUCCUAAAUCCUAAAUUAAAUCCUAACCAAACCCUAAAUCCUAAAUCAAACCCUAAUCCAAAUCCUAAAUCAUAAACCAAACCCUAACCAAACUCUAAUAAUUCCUAUAAUAGAUUUAAAACUCAAUAAUUAAUGAAUAAACUAUUGAUCUUAACUCAAAUUUUUCAUAUUUCUAAAAAAACUAAGUUAAAAACAAGCAAAAAAAAAUUGAUAAGGAUCAGAGUUACCAAAUUGACGAUAACCUCAAAAAUAUGCUCGGAUAUUGGCCAGCCUCCUUCUCCAAUCUUGAUGCCGAUCUUCCAGAGCCAAUAUCACUCCUAUGCACCGUUCGAUUGAUUUCAAAAUUUUUAAACACAUAGAAAAACAAAUCUCAUAUCCUUUCACAUAAGUUUCAGUCCAAUCCAAUCAGUAGAUUGCAAGAAAACUCAAAAACCCCCACUGGACUUAAAAUUCUACUUUCUGAGAUCUUGACCCACUUAAACCUUAAUAUUCCUCAAUUCAAUCGUUAGAUCAAGGUCAAAUUCACAACACACAUUAAACACAACUAUAACCAUAAAGCCACAAAAUUUCACUCGUAGAUCUAUACAAAACUCUCGAAAUCAUCCAAAACGUAAAUCCUAUUUUUUUUCAUAGAACCUAAGUCAACCGAAACAAACCUUGACUUUGCAAAGCUCUUACGAAGUCAAAUCAACUUUAAAUCACCCAAAAUCAAUGCUCAUAGAAAGCCUAUUCAGUCUGCUAUCAAAUCUCAUUCUUUGAUCUCCAAAAGAACUCUGGAAUCGUCAUUAAGAUUCAAUUUUGUGCCCUAGGAUCCGAUUUCGACCCUGGUUCAUAACCGGCUCUGUCUGGGUAUCAAUAUCUAGUUUUUCUAAGUAAUUUUUCUAGAAUUUACUCUUAACUUCUUCCUAAAAAUGUCCAUAUCAUUUAUUUUUCCAAUCUACUUUGAUUUGCCUUACUUAUGGUAUUACAAAGUAAGUAGAAGUCACCUUUCUAAAAGGCAGCAUUGGUACCUUUUAAUUUUUCUAUUCCUUUGACUACUAACUAUAUUUCUAAGAUAAUUUUUUCUAAUAAUUUGAACUAAGUUCUCUUAUAUUAUAAUAAUCUCUAUAUUCUUUCACCUAUUAGUCGUGUUACAUCACGACACCGAUCUUUCAUUUCUCUCCGUACGCACAUAUUAUGCUUCAAAGAGUGACAAUAAGUACAAAUUUGACACCUUAACUUUGAACACCUAUAUCUCCUUCAAAAAAACUCGAAAUCACACAAACUCUUCAUCCAAAUUAUACCCAAAAUCCUGAACUAGCUGCCUCUAACUUCCAAAGCUCAAAUAACUUCGAAAGAGAAACCCUAAUUCCUAAUAAGGCCUCAGGCAGCCUCCUUGAAGUCCAUUGAGUAUGGCGUUCUACCAAUAGGAAUGAAGUUUCCCAUUCCUUGGCUUCAUCCGACCAUGCCUUGCUUUCAUUCCUCCCAAUAAGCCUCCUAUUAGUUAAGAUUUUCUUCUUUAGGCUCUAAUCUCUUCUCAAGGCUUUAUACUAAACAUUUAGGUCUUACAAUUGUUUUAAAUGUUAUAAUAAAAAAAGAUAAAACUCAAAAUAAAAUUUCUUAAAUCCACUCUCUUUAAACUAAUCUAUUAACCAUUCUAACAUAUAUCUAGAUUUAUUAACAUAUAAUAUAUUUUAACUAAUUUUUACAUACUGUAAGCUUUUACAGUAUGACACCAUGAGAUAAAAGAGCUUCCUUAAAAUUCCCGCCCCUGAGAGGAUCUUUCAACGGAUAGGAAGUUUCUUAGAACUGUAUAGAGAAUGAAAUUACUUGGAACAAAAUUGAAGCCUUUGUAAUCGAGACCUCAUUAGAUUGUGCAACCAAGUCGGGUCUCAUACUAGGUAAGAAGCGUGUAACAGGACCUCUAUUAGAUGGCCCCGUAAUUGGAUCAAAUUGGACCUUCGCAUCAGGAUCACCCAAAUGUUGAAUUGGUCCUUUCUCCUUUUGUUGACUCCUGAUAAGAACGACUUGAAUACAUUCUAUCUGAUUUACCAAAGAAUCUUAAAGACCUUGAUUUAUCUCCUCAAUUUUUUCUUCACUUUGAUCUUGCUGAUCUCAAUUCUUAGAAUUGAACGGAGCAUUACAUUGCUGAUACAUAUGCCCCAACUGCUUGUAAUUUCCACAAAUUGGCACAUAAUCAUCACAAGCUCUGGAAUUGGAACAUUUACUAGCAUAAUAAUCAAUUUGUUUGCAAUUGAAACAACAAAGUAGUCUUCUUGUACCCUCCAUCAAGUAUAUUGGGUAUCUCUAUCAGUAUAUACCUACUAGGCUUGUUCCAUAUGGGAUUAAAAAGUAAUCCUGGUUGUCUCAGUUGUACGAAGGAAACUUUGUUCGAUGGCAUUGUCAUAUUGUAAUAUGAAUAUAUGGUAAAAGAUGAUAAUAUGGAUCUUAUUAUAGAAGAACCAAGUUAAAAAAUAAAGUAGAAAUAUAUAGAUAAAAGAUAGGGAGGUAGUAAAACUUUUAGUUGUAAUGCUACCUUUUUAGAAAAGUGACUUCUAAUUACUUUGUAGAGCCAUAAAUAAGGUAAAACAAAGUAGAUUGGAAAAAUAAAUAAUGUAAGCAUCUUAAGAAGGAAGUUAAGAGUAAAUUCUAGUAAAAAUUAUUUAGAAAAACUAGAUAUUGAUACUCGAAGAGGGCUGGUUAUGAACUAGGGUUGAAAUCAGAUCCCAAGGCACAAAACCAAGUGUCGACGACAACUCCAUGACUCUUUGGCAAAUUGGAGAGUAUGAUUUGAUAGCAAACUUAAUAAGAUUUUUAUGAGCAUUUUUAGAAUAAGUAGUUAUUUUCAGAAUGUAGAUACCUAGUGUAUAAUAUAAACAAGGAUAGAUAAUUGCUGAAAAGGUGGUUUAGUAGGUAGAAUGGAUGAAUAGUCAGGAAAAGUAGUUAUCAUCUGUAGUACAAGAGUUGGUAUCUCAAGAUAGUAUAAGGAGGAUGGGAGAGGGAAAGAAAAUACCAGAUUGUGAGAGUUGUGAGCCGAGGUAAGCUUGGUGCUAUCUCUUUUCUUUUGUUUGUUAUUUUCUUUGAAUAAGAAGAUUGAGAGUUUCUGAAUAUUGUGAAGUGAAUUAUGGAAUGGAAAUGUGAUUGGUAUUAUUUGAGAAGAAGAAAGAUUGAAUGCUGAAAUCUGAUUAUGGUUCAACAGAGAGAAUGAGUCUGUGUUUGUGUGAAACAUUGUAAUGUGAAUGGCAGUUCUGUGUGAAGAAUUCCAGUGAUUGGAACGAGGGUAAUUGUGUGUUGAAAGCUGUGAGGGCGCAAUAUUAUAGUUGGAGAUUAUGAGGGUGAAUAUAUUGGUAGAAAUAGCAGUUAUUGGUAUGAUUGAAUUGCUGUAAGGAAGAGACCAAUAAGGUGAAGGAGGAGAUUAUAGUUUCCUUGUGUGUUCAGAUAUUAGAAAUAGAGAUGAUACAUUCAGGAGGUAAUUGAUUGUGUGACCCUAACGUGAAUGCUUAAGCAACUAGUCAUUCCCAGUGUUUGAAUCCUUCUACACGGAUUUAUGCUGAGAGGUUUCUUCUGGAAUAAGUAAAACGAGCAAUCACAGCAUUAGAUUUGAAUAAUUUUGAGUCGUUAUGACUUUGUAAGAGAUUUAUAAAGUUAAGAUUAUUUUCGGAUGACUUAAGAUUUGUAAAAUAAAAUAGGAUUGAUGUUUCUAGUGAUUACAAGAGUUUUGUAAUAGAUCUACAAGUUAAAUUUUGUAAGUUAAUGCUCAUAGUUGUGUUUAAUAUGCGUUGUAAAUCUUAGCUUGAUCUAACAGUUGAAUUGAGGAAUAUUGAGGUUUAAGUCGGUCAAGGUCUCAAAAAAUAGAAUUUUAAAUCCAGUGAGAAUUUUUAAGAUUUCUUGCAAUCUACUAGUUGGAUUGGAGUAAAAUUUAUGUGAAAGAAUAUGAAACUUAUUUUUCUAUGUGUAUGAAAAUUUUGAGAUCAAUCAAAUAGUGAAAAUGAAAAAUAUUGGCUCUAAAAGAUUGGCAUUAAGGUUGGAGAAGGAGGCCGACUAAUACCUGAGCACGUUUUUGAGGUUAUCGUCUAUUUGAUAAUUUUGAUCUUUUUCAAAUUUUUUGUACUUUUUUUCAAUUUAGUUUUUAAGAAGUGUGAAAAAUUUGAGUUAAGAACAACGGUUUAUUCAUUAGUUAUUGAGGUUUGAAUUUGUGGUGUAAAUUACCAGGGUUUAAGAUUUGGUUAGAGUUUGGUUUAGGAUUUAGGAUUUGAUUUAGGAUUUGUUUAGGAUUUUGUUAGAAUUUGGUUUAGGAGCUUUUUAGGGUUUAGAGUUUGAUUUAGAAUUUAUUUAGGAUUUGUUUAGGAUUUGAUUAGAAUUUGAUUUAAGGUUUAGUUAGGAUUUGGUUUAGGGUUUAAGAUUUGAUUAGGAUUUGGUUUAGGAUUUAAGAUUUGGUUUAGGAUUUAAGAUUUAGUUAGGGUUUAAUUUAGGAUUUAGGAUUUGAUUUAGAGUUUAGGAUUUGAUUUAUAAUUUAGGAUUUUAUUAGGAUUUAUUUAGAGUUUAAGAUUUAAUUAGUUUUGGCCUAAAAUUUGAAUGAAGUUCAAUAGGAUUUUAACUAGGAUUAAAUUAAGAUUGAAUUGAGAUAUAUUUGAGAUAUAUUUGUCAUCAUUAUAAUAUUUCUUUAAGAUUUCUUAUUGUUUCUUUGAAAUUUCUUUGAGGUUUCUUUGAAUUUAAUUAAAUCUUGCUUAGAAUUAUUAUGGUCUAAUUAGAAUAUAGUUAAUAUUUUAUUAUAGUUAGGAUUUUAUUGUUGCAAUUUCCAUUCUCCUUUCUACAGCCAAGUGUCCGGAGUAUUCUCAAGCAAGACUUCACGUAUUACGACAAAGUUGAUGGAGCAUAUUGUUGAUACAUGUGCUGCUCUUUACAGUAGUUCCAAGGGUUCGAUGUAGACCUUUGAUUAAAAUUGGAACUUUGAAAGUUAUUGAAUGUUCGAUUUUAUCGAUAAGAUCGAUUUCUAUUCCAUCGAAACGUAUUUUUUAUUUGAACUUGAUUGACGUCCCAUUGAGUUGGUGGGAUCAUGGUCUAAUUCUUGAAUUUUUGUUGCCUUUGCCAAUUCCAACAAUUAGUUGUUAAGUUUUUUCUUCCGCAAAAUAUAUAUUGACCCAUUAUUUGUGAGACUGAAGGGCAUUUUGUUAUCAAAUGACUAUGGCCCUUACAAUUACUAUACCAUACAUUGGUCCUAAUAUUGGUAUGCUUUUGCCUCUUCUCUUUAUCCUUGGCCAUAUUGAUGGUCAUUUCUUCCAUUUUCUUUAUCAAGUUCAAUUACAAGAUUUCAUUGGAAUCUUUUGGGGCUGGUAUUAUUAGUAUCUUUGCCGUAGUUAACGCUUGUUGAUAUAAAAAAUAUAGAGCAUUUGCUGUUGUCAGGUUUGGUGGUAUAGCUUGCAAUGGGAUGACAUUAACUGGCCCUUGAAUAUUGGCAUUGGAAUUGGCCCCUGUUUCAAAUAUUUGUCCAUAAUUAUCCAUUGAUCUGUUCCAAGUCAGAUUUUGAUAUCUGCCUUGAACUGGAAUCAUCGUGGCUCCCGUAGUAAAAAACUGAUCAUAAUGGCAUUCCUCCCAAACCUUGGUUCUAUUAAGGGAUGCAGAUACUAUAACGGAUUGAGCUUCCUUUACAAAUAUUUUUAGCUUUGGUGGGUGCAAACCAUUGAUUAAUAUGGAUAAGAUAAAUACCUCUGGCAUUUGGUGAUUUGGCCACUUACUGAGUAUAUUAGCCACCCAGCCAUAGUACAAUUCCACCGCCUUCCCUAGGAUCAUUUUGCUGUUCAUUAACAUCUCUUGAAGGUGGUCAUCAAAACCAAUUGGAUGAAAAUGGAUUAAAAAUACAUUCUUCAAUGCUUUUCAAUUGAAAAAUUGAUCCACUAGUUGGCAAUUGUACCAUUCAAAUGUCAUUUUCUUUAAGAUUGUUGGCAAUCAUCAUAACCAAAUAUCUUCAAUUCUUCUAUUAUUGGCUAAACAUGAUCUUAGAUAUUGAGACAAAUGUUGAUCGGGAUCUACAUCCAUAAAGUCCUUAAAAGUAGGUAAUAGAGCCAUACUUGUUGUGCAAUCGCUCACGUCACCUAUUUAUACUGCUAUACGAAGCGCUGGACCAUCCAUUAUUAUUGAAGAGAACAAUAUACCACUUAAUCUUUUAUUAAAAUAACCAGUACCUUUCUCAAUUAUUUAUUCUGAACUUUUAAGUUUCUUCAAUUUAUUAUUAUUAUCCUCAAAUAAGUUAUUUGAUUAAAUUGGAGGUAAAAAUGAUGGAUUUUGAAAUACAUUGAAUUGGCCUUUAUUGACCAGUAAUUUAUGCUAUUCUAUGGAACCAAUUUUGACAAAAUUGGCAGCUUCGAUUAUUAAAAACGUACCUAAUAGAAUAUCCAAUUCUUCUGUGAUUCUUCCACUCACAAUUAAUGGCCUCAAGAGAAACACUAGACUAUUGACUAAAUUUUCCAUGAGUGCUCUUGGCAAUUUCUCUAAUGGUAUAUACUUCUAAAAUAUUAGAUAUCAAUCAACUUCUGAGUAUACUCAGAUAUGCCGAUAGGCAUGCAACCAUGGCUUAAUCCAACUUUGUCGAUGAUUUCUUUUUAACUUUCAUUCUUGCUUGUUACAGAACAAAUUUCUUACUUUCAAUCUCUCUAUUCUUUCUUUUAACUAUCGUAUUCUCUUUACUGUUAAGUUCUCAUUCUUAAUAAUUAUACUCUUUCAUUAUAUUCUAUUGAGUUUGCUUCUUAUUUCCCAUCUAUUCAUCUGGUAGUUAAUUCCUAAAACUCAAUGUUAUUCUCAAUCCUCGGUAGCGGUACCAAAAUAUAAUUAUCAUUUUACUUAUUCUAUAAAUUUCUUUCAGAAUAAACCUAUAGAGGGAGAUUCGAAUGUAGGGAAAGACUAAGCACAUGAAUUCUAUUUAUUAGGGUUAUACAAUUAACCAUAUUCUAAACCACUGAAAAUACCAAAGAACACCACAAUAUUUUCCACUUUCUAAUAGUGCUCUGCCAUCACUGAAAACACCAAAGAACACCACAAUAUUUUCCACUUUCUAACAGUACCCCGCCAUCACUUAUAACAACAAUGUGCAACCCUGUACUAUCCUAAAAGACAGUACAUAAUCAUUCUAUAAUCCAAACACUAGAAUCUUUCAGUACUAACUGUCCUUUUCAAUACACUUCUUUACAAAAUUCCAGACUCUAUAGACUCCUUCUCAUGAAUCACUUUCAAUUCUCAAUACUCGAUGUAUUAUAAUCCUUCCAUUCAUAUCUAUUCUUUAUAAAUAUUUCUAAUUAUUCUCUUUCAAUUCACCACUAUAUAACUCAACAUUCAAUAAAUUGAAUUCUUCUUUUGAAAAUAUUAAAUCUCUUUUUAUUCCAAAACAUUACUUCACAUUUUUGAGAAACUAUUCGUAAUUCUUCUUCUACAAAGAAAACAAAACCGAAGAAAUAAAAAAAGAAAGACGUAGCACCAAGCUUAUCUCGGCUCAUGACUAUCACAGUCUGGCCUUUAAACUAACUUCUACAACUCAUAUAUACUUUCUCUUGAUUUUCUAGAUUCUAACCAUAAUUUUAUAAUUAACUACUUUUAAUAACUAAAUCAAUCAUCCAUCCUCCUGAAUUGCCUAUUCUAUGGAUUACUAGUAUAUUUUACCAAUAUCUUUCAAAAACAAAUUAAUAUCUAUUCUACACAAGGUAUGGGCUGAUGAAGGGAAGAGGUGAAGGUCUUCAUCCCUAUUGGUAGAAGAUCAUGCCCAAUAGGCUUUUACUAAGCUGCCUACAACCAUAACAAGGAUUUUAGUGACUUUAAAAGAGGUAUUUGAGAAUCAAAAGCAAAAGCUAUAAGGUUUAGAAUAUGGACUACAAUUUGUGUAAAAUAUUUAGAGGAUUUGGAAUUAGAGUGAAGAAAUUAUAGCCAUUUGAAGUUAAGGUGUCUUUUAAGACACAUUAUUACUCUUUUAAAAAAAUAAGAAGUUAUACAAUUGCUUUUAGAAAUUGACAAGAGUAAUUGUAAGGACAAUUUUAAGACCUAUGUUUUUUAUAAAAUAAUUAUUAUAUUUGAAAUUUAUAUGAAGGAAUUAUAGAGCAUUGAAGAUAGUAUAUGUAAUUUGAAUGCAAUAAGUGAAUUAUUUUAUUGAUAGCAAUGGUUGGAGCCAUAUUUUGAAUUUUUGGAUGAAUUUUUGAUUCAAAAUUUUUAAAGUUGUGAAUUAUUAGGUUAAAAAGCCAUAUAUCUAAAUUUUAUGGUAUUUAACUACUUGAUUUAUGAGAUAUAAAGAAAAUUACAUAUAAGUGUAUAUAAGCAAGGAUUUGAAGCUACUAUUAGGAUUUUGGCAAUAUUUAAAAUCCAUAAUGAAUUUAUAAUUGAAUUUUUUUUUAGUAUUAUUUAAAGCAUAUUAAUAAUUUGUGUAAAUUUUUAAUUUUUUUGAAAAUUUUGAUUCUAAUAUAUGAGCUAUUGAAAUUUGGAAAAAAUUCACGUCAAGGAUAUAUUAGAAUUUAGAAUACUUUUUAUCAUUUUUUGGAUGUUCUUUGGUACUUAGGACUUAUAUACUGAUGUAAUUACCUCUAUAGAGAUAAUUUUAUAUAUGAACUUGGUACUUUUUUAUCUUAAGACUUCAUUGAGCAAUUAGUAAUAGCCAAAAGUCUAGUAUUUUUUUGACGCAAUUUUCUCUAUUGUAACAACAUAAUCAAGCUUCAUCUUUUGAAACAUAUAAGCAUCUAUUAAGAUAUAAUAGAUUAUUCUUAAAUUCAAACUUAGAAGUAUCAUAAGACUUUGAAGAAUUUUUCUUAAUAUCACAAAUAAGAGGAAUAAAAGACAUAUUUAAUUGAACUUACUUAAUCAAAGUUGAAAGAAUAGUUAAUAUUAAUUUCAUUGCUUAAAAAUAAAGAUACUCUAAGUUUAAGAGAAUUAUCUCUUAUUGACCAAAAGAAACAUCUCCUUCUUUUUUUGCAAGAUAUAAUCAUCUGAAGAAUACAUUUGAUAAACCUAAUUAUUUUUUUGAUUGAUAGGUGAUCUUGAAUUUGAAUCUUGGCAAGAACUUAUUCCAAUGGAUUCAAUAACAAUUAAAAAAAUAUGCUGACAUAAAAUACUUAAGAUUUUUUGAUUUGUAUUUACAAUGACUUAAUUAGGAGCACCUUCAAGAUAAUAGCACCAUCCUCAAAACAAAUCCUUCAUUGUAAAAAAUUCUUUGUUAUGGAUCUUGUAGUUGAUCUUGACUGUUGAAAAUUUUUUGGAAUGAAAAGCUAUUAGGUGAGAUUUAUCAUUUGUUUCCAUUUAUGAUAAUACAACAUCCAAAGAAAAUUUUAUGCAUUUAUUUUCAUAAAAAUUAGCUUAAAAAAAUUUAUAAAAUAUAAAAUUGGUACAAAAAUAAAGACUAUCUUCAAAGCUUCAAAUGUUAGUUUUGCUUCUUGAUUUCAUUGAAGUUAGUCUUCAGAAGUCAAAUAUGUGAAUAGAAACACAAUUUGAAAGAAGUUCUUGAUGAAGAUCUAAUAGUAGUUGGUAAAUUUUAAAAAGCAUUGAAUAUCUUUUAUUGUUUUUAGGAUCUUCCAAUCUAUAAUAGUUUGAACUUUCUUAUAAUCUAUCAUAAAUCCAUCAUUUAAAAUAAUGUAUUCUAAAAGUCAACUUGAAUAGUAUAAAAUACAUACUUUUUUAUCUUGGUAUAUAAUCCAAUAUCUCUUAGUUUUUGUAAUAUGCAUCAAAUAUAAAGUUUAUAUUCUUUUAUAUUCUUAGAAUAGAUUAAACUAUCAUCUUGAUAAUAGACAAUAAAAUCAUCCAAAAACUCUCAAAAGACAUUAUUUAUUAGAUAUUGAAAAGCUAUUGGUCUAUAUAUAAGUCCAAAAGGCAUGAAAUUAUAUUCAAAAUAUGUGAAUUUGGUUCAAAAAAUACUCUUCCAUUCAUCUCCUUCUUUCAUUUAUACUAGAUUGUAUAUGCCUUGUGAAUCUAUUUUUGUAUAGAACUUAGCUUAAUUCAAUUGAUUAAAAAAUCUAGAUAUAAAAGGUAGGAAGUACUUAUUUUUUAUAGUGAUCUUAUUGACUCCUUAAUAAUCAAUAUACAUCUGCAAAGAUCUAUUUUUUUCUUUAUAAAUAAAAUUAGAGCUCUUCCUAGAGAUUUGAAAUAGAGUAUGAAGUGUUUGGCCAGAUUUUCUUCAAUAUACACUUUAAAUUCAUCUAAUUUAUUUUAUAUUAAACUAUAGAUUAAUCCAAAUGGUAAUUGAACUUCUUCUUAAAGGUCAAUUGAGUAGUCAUAAGAACAAUGUUUCAAAAAAGUAUCUUCAUUUUUUUCUCAAAUAAAACUUAAAAAAUUUGAUAUUGGCUAAAAAUGCUAUUUGAAGUCUUUUUACUAUUAAAAAUAAGUGUAGCAUAAAUGAUCCAAGGUGAUUCUUAUUUUAUAGCAUACAAAAAAGCUUUUACAUCUACAAAUAUAAGUUUGGUUACAUUAGAUUUAUGACUUUCUACUUGAUGAAUUACACUUUAAGUUAUAGUUUCAAAAAAGUCAAGACUACAAGAAAUUCAAUCCAUUCAAGGAUUAUAUUUUUUUAACCAUGAUAAAACUAAAAUGUCUAGAUUAAAAGGAGAUCUAAUAAUAUUAAAUACCACAAAGCUACUAUAAUUAUUAGUGACUAAUUUUAAAAGAAAUAUGUUAUGAAUAAUAUCUCCAAAAGAUAACCAUCUAUGACUUCUAUAUGAAUAGGUUUCAUUUUUUUUACUCUAAAUAUGUUAUGUCUUCAAAUAAUUUUUUUAUCUAAAAAAUAAGUUGAGGCUCCUGAACCUAACAAGAUAGAGGCUUUGUGAUAUUUAGAUCCUAAAAUAACAUCUAUUAUAAAACAAGAAGAGAAUUCUGAAAAAGAAAUAGGUCCUUUAUUAGAUGUUAUAUAAGAUUACAACUACAUGGUUUCUAUUGUAGUUAGACAAACUUGUUUUUUGAUAUAUUGACUAUUUUAACAAUCAUACUUCUCAUUUUAUGAUUGAGUUUUCUUUUUGGAUAAUAUUAAGCAGUGUGCUUUGGUUUUCUAUAAUAUAUAUACAAUCCUUCUUAACGAUAAGUCUUUUCUUACUCAAUAAGAGAUUUAAAAUGUAUUGCAUUAAUUUACAUAUCCUCUACUUCCGAAGGUAUGUAUUGAGAAGACAUUGGUGUUGCCUUUGAAUUAUAGUAAUAUUAAGGCCUAUUCAUGUAAUUAUUAAAUUAAAAUUUAAAAAAUUGAUUGUUAUACUUUAUAGUAAAAUCUAUUACUUAAUUCAAUGUUUAAAGUUCAUGUAAACUGAGCAUUAAUUAUUUUAACUCAUAUUAUAAUAUAUAAAAAAAUUAGCUAAUAAAUGCAAUAUCAUUCCAUUUAAUAUUAAUUAUAAAUUAUCUAAAUUAUAAAAUAUAUAAUAUAAUAGAUUUAUUUUUUAUCAUAAAAUAUAAAUCUUAUUUAUUAUAAUAUAAAUUAUAUCAUAUUUUCUAUUUAUAAUUUAAAAUUCUAAUAGAAAAUCUUUUAAAUUAUCUAAUAUUAGAUCAUAUUAUUCAAGAAAAGAUUAAAAUUAUCAUAAAAUAAAUAAGUGAGACUUUCUCAAAGAAGUAUAAUAAAAUUAUCAUAAAAUAAAUAAGUGAGACUUUUUCAAAGAAGUAUAAUAAAAUAAAAAUAUAGAAGUAUGUACAUUAAAAAGAAAUUAGAAUGGCUAUUUCCAAAAGAUAAUAAAACUAUAAACUUCUUGAAAUUAAACUAAAAGCAAGAAAGAAAUUGAUAAGUGGGAAGAAGGCAUCACUCUUCUUUUUAUAUAUACUAUUUACAUGGAAGCUAUGUAGCAACAUUUUAUAGGACCUCUAAAAUGUGAUGAAUUUGUAUGAUAUGUAUCUUAAUUAUGUACCUUAUAAAAUAAGUUUUUUAUAUGGGCGCUACAUAAUUAGCUUAUUUUAUAAGCUAUUAUCAUGCAUGGCAUGAGAUUAACUUAUUGAUUAAGUUUCUAAUCUACCAAUCAAUAAUAAAUACAUAUAAAAUCAAAGCAACAUCUAUGAAGCUUCUAGAAAGUAUUUCUAAAAGAUAUUAUGAAAUUAAUCUAUUUUUAUAUAUUCAUAUUACUUAUAUAAUAAUUAUGAUAAAUAUAUAUAAAAAAUAAGACUAGUCAUGCACAUUGUUGUUGAUUGUGGCACCACCAUAAUAUUCAAUCCUCCAAUAUCAAAAUGAGAGCACAAAAAAAAAAUAAAAAAAUAAAAAUGAUGACAUCCAAAGAUAAAUUGACACUAAACAAAAAAAAUAAAGAUUCUAGCCUCAGUAUGUUAAGAAUUCAAACUCCAACUAGUACAUAAAAAGUUGGUAAUUAGAAUCAACACAUACCAUGUCAAUAGCCAACAUUUGCACGAUAAGGAUUACCACUAAGGAGUAGCAAAAUUGUACUUAACUAGAAUCUAGCAGCACUAUUAUACAUCAUAUUUGAGAAACAAACAAUACAAAAUAAAUACCAUACUUUUGACUCAAGCUUCCUUACAAAGUAAUAAUAUAUAUAUAUAUAUAUAUAUAUAUAUGUGCAAAGAAAAUAGAACUAAAAAAGAAUUGUUGAUGUUCCAUCACAACUUAUGAUGCUUAAAGUCACUAGUUUAAUGAAUUAGCAUAGGAAUUUUGAGAUAAAUAGAAAAAAAUAGAAUUCCAAUACAAGACUAGAUUUCUUGUAGAAUUUUUCUAUAAAAAGAACUUUAAAAUAAAUAUUUUCUUUAAUAUACCUAAUAUAGUUUUGGGAAUUUUUAGUAAUAAUUUUAUUAUUAUUAAAAUUUUAAUUAGACUAGGUGCUAAAAUGGAAUCCUAGAUUCAAAACAAUCCAAAAAAAUAAAAAUAAAAACAAAUGAACCUACCUUAGUAGUUCUAGACAAAUAAGAUGGGGAGGAAUACAAUAGAAUAGAAAAUUAAAAGGUUGACAGUAGGGAGAGAAAGAAAAGCAAGAAGAAGGAGCUAGAAAAGAAAAAGGAAAAGAAUGAGAAAGUAGAAAAGAAAGAAAAGAAGAGAAGGAAGAAAGAAAAAAUAAAAUAAAAUAAAAUAAUGAGAGAUAAAGAAAACGAGAAGGUGAGGAGGACGAGAGGCUGUCCACAAACGGCGGCAGCCUCUUUGUCGAUAGGGGUCCGGCUGCCCGGAUCCCUGCCUCUCUUGUUUUUUGGUUUUUUGAAUUUUGGUGAAUGCCCCAGACUCCGUCCCUACGUUUUUUUUUGGUUGUGUUGUGUACGCGUGUGUGUAGUUAAGGUGUCCCCUCCAUUCCAUUGAGUGGUACCAAUGGAAGUGUGCUCAUUAUUGGAUAUUCAUAAUGAUCAUGUAGUUAGUUUUUUUCCUCACUCGGUGAGCGGUCUGUGUAUAGCGAGAGUUCAAGGUGGCGCUGCUGGCUUCCGAGCUCCAGAUUCAAGGGGUGGUGCUACGUAGAAUUUAAGGUUGUUGUAUCUUUUACUUCUCCUGCGACGCAAAGGGAGGAGCUGCAGAUUAAGCGAUGUCGUCGCUGCAGCGAAUCGGUCCGACGUCAUUGUCGACACUAGAUCUACAGUUGUAUUUGGAAAGCCAUUUGGGUUCUUUUUGUUUUUUUUAUUCUAUUCCCUGGCAUAGGUUCCUAGUUUGAAGUGGCGGUGCUACGUCGAGGGCCUUGGUCAUAUUGGGGUAGAUUUGCGUAGAGCUUCGAAUUCGGAAGAGUAGCAACUGUCGCGGCAGAUUCGUUUGGUUUGCACAUUGCGAGACCAGAUCCAGGGUUUCCAUCAGCAGCUUGUCGUCGAGAGCCUCCAUUGAGCUCAUGAGGCUUUUACCACGCGCUUUCACUCUAUAUGAUUUCGUGAAUAAGAUUCAGAUCUUCAAGGUAGGCAGAGUGGUUACAAUACAGUGAGGAGAAUCCAGUCAAUUAAAAAUCCAGAGGUUGCUGAGCGAGUGGGCAGGCUGGCUGUUGCACUCAUGUCAACUAACAAAGUUGGAUCACGUUCAGGAAGCUAAGCUUGGACAGAGGGUUGAAGGGAGAACUUACUGUGAAUUCUCCAAACGAUGCAUUGAUAGACAAGCUGAUCACUACUACGUUGAAUGACCAGCAAGGUGGAUUGCCCUUACCCCAAUUACGAGGGUGACUGUACAAGAAGAAUUAGACCGUUGUUCUUUUUAAAUAUAUUGUAUUUCACACUUCCAGUCCCUUCCAUUCUAGUCUUGUUGCUACAGACUCAGAGAUUAUCAACAUGAUGUGGUCGAUUCCAUGCUGAACUAGAUCAUUUAGAUCAUAGGUCUAAGAGCUUGUGAGAUUAGUUAGUAAGACAAUUAAAACGAGUGCGAGAACUGGUAGGAGCUAGAUAGAGGACGGAGAAUCCUUUAGAAGAUCUAGGUGGAGAUUCAGGCUAUGCGAUUGGUGUUUACGUGACUAUUUCUCUCAAUGCAAGCUGUAAUUGAAGAGUACCAUCAUCAGAGGAAACAUCUCCAACGUGUCCAGCAGCCAAGCUCCUCCAGGGCCACUUAAGCUUAAGCGGUUUGAACGUUGGAAGGACUUGUCGACUAAGUGGAGGCUUGCAACUAUAAUGGAGUGAUUAGAUAGAGGUGACGAAGUGAAAUUUAUUCCGCAGCACGUCGACCAGGGAGCCGAUCCUUCCAACUAGUGAGGUUCUAAAUGCAUGAAGCUAGUUAGGUCAAUUGAAGUAGAUGUGCUACCUCUACCUCUGACUUUCGCAAUGCGAGCCUCCAGAAAACACAAAGACGUGGAAAAGAAAAGCAAGCCGACGAAAUCUGCCAAUGCUUGCCACAACAACUGCCCCACAAUAUUUGAAGUCAAAUCCCGCACCAAAAGAAAUGAAGAGAGAUGUCAAAGAGAUCCAAGACCACUCCUCAAUGACGAGCUAUCUAACAAACUUAGAGCGGAAAAGUUUUCUUUUUUUUCUAUUUACUUUUCUUUCUUUCUUGUUAUCUUUGUCUAUAUGCUUUUGAUGGUUCAAUCAAUCUGUUGCAAUUGAUGAUUAUGUCCUACACUAUUCAUGACCAUCAAAUUCUAGCUCUCUUCACUUGUUGCUAGAACAUGUUUUUUUUCUUUUAUCACUUUACAAGUCAGCACCACGGAAGCCAGUUCCUUUUUAGGUCUGCUGUAAUGCAGGGGGUGAUGAGGAGCUUUAUUCCACAUGACAAGUUUUAUUUCACAAGAGCUAGUUUGCUACUUCGCCUCCAAUGUUAAUGGUUAAUUGGUUGCAGCUGUUAGCAGAUUCCUGUAAGAUUGUGAUUUUAGACUUAGUUGUAUAGCAGACAAGGUUGAACAUGCAUAUGGAGACUGAACUAAUCAUACAUGAACAAUUCUUGACAGCUUGGUGUAAGAAGGGGAAUACCUGGACAUUUUUCUAUAUCCAAUGCAUUCUAUAUUCAAACCCGAAGCAUUGAAACCAAGUCUAGUCAUCUCUGUCCUCAAUUUGCAUGGUGACUACCAGGAGAGACGACCAUACUGCUAGGGACAAGGUAAACCGUACACUUCACAAUGGUAGCACCAACUUGAAAUCCAGGAACAAUCAAGAGGCCCACAACAAGUUCCUGGUCGGAGUCAUUGACGUCAAUGGGAAAAGCAUUCUCCAUAUAAGUCGGGUCAAACCUCGUUCCUCGGGCGUAGCGAAAGAUCCGCGCUGGGGGUUGGAACUGGAAAGCCAGACGGUGCAACAGAAAGGUCACCUUAGCUAGGUUGACAAACGGUUCCAAGACGUUGUCGCAAUACUUGGGGUUCGUUGCAAGAUGGCAGAAAAGGAGGUUUUUGGAAUAAUCACCAUCGGAUUCCUGAAAAGGCCCGAACUCUUCGCACGACACAUUCAAGCUGGUUAUGAUGUUGUGUAACUUUCUGUAGCAAAACAGAUGAAAUGGAUUGGUGCUCGCAACAAUGUUCUUCAAAUCUCUCAUUAUCCCCUUCAAACCAAACUUCUGAAGAGAAUAGUACUCCUCAAGAUACCGUUGGUGCCGUAUUUCCAGAUCUUGAUUCUUCAUGAAGAAUUCGGUGUCCUUGUGAUUAGCGAGGAGAUAGCGCUCAGAGCCUUGUGUACAUUCAAAGCUGUCAUGAUAACUAUCGUUCUCAAACCCUGCAAACAUGUGGCUGCAAAUGUAGGCUUCCACCUCGAACUUGCGAAACCGCUUAUCUGCCCACUCCGGAGGAUUCUGGAAUACCUCAUGAUUUUCCAAAGGCUUCUUGAAAAAGUCGAGGAAAGCCUUAGAGCAUUCAAACGCCUUCUCUGCCACAACGAACACGGAUUUCUUCAAAUUGGGAGGGACGGCAGGUGAGUCCUUGUGAGCCCCGGUAGUGCCAGGAGCCUUGGAAUUCGACUGCUCCAAACAUAAAAGCUGCUUGUCAAGCCUAUCAGCAAUGGCUUCGUAGUGAUGUGUAUUGGCACGCCAAUAUUGAACGUUUUGGGCAAGGGUUCUUGCCUCCUCUCGAAUCUUUUGUAAAUCCGUUUCGGCCUUUUUCAACACAUUGUCCUUAGCUUGCAACAUAGCAUCCCUCUGCUCAAUCACAUACAAUAAUCUAUGCUGUUCACGCCCAAGUUUGUACUUCAUGUCACUACAUACUGUCUUCAGCUCCUCGUUCUCCUUUUUCAAACUGUUAAAUUUAGUGGUGAUCUGAAGCAUCUCCCCAUCCACCGGCUUCUCAGAUUCAACAGUAUUGCCAAAGAAUCCGAAAGUGUACCUAAACAGGGCAGACGUCAGCCAUAAAUAUUGUGGGUGCAGGGUGAUGAGGUGCUGGUGAGUGGGAGAUGAAGUUUGGCUGACCGGGUCGAUAGCAGGUGUAGCAAAUCGUUUUUCGUAAUGAGAGCCCCCUCUGCGCGCUGCUUCUGCAUAUUCUCCUUGGUGCUUUUCAUUGGAAUGCGCCAAUGCACCACCGCCAUUGUGGCUCUGCUCUGGAACCGAUGCCUGAUAAUCCGCACCAUCGCAAGGUGUACCUCCGAGGUCAAGAUUCUGUUGCUGAUCGGAGGCAGGUGACGCACCGUGAACAUCAGUGGAGUUGACUAGACACAGGGGUGCACCGUUCGGCGUAGAAUUCAUCGUCGACAUCCUUGAUUCAGAAGUGACAAUAGAAUUGGCAGAUUCACGAUUUUGACACCCUGGCCCCUUGAAAUUGGAACCUCACGUUGAAUGAGCUGCAGAAAGUCAAGACGGCCUGUCCAGUUCCAGAUAGCUGGCGGCAUAGCAUACAACGGUCAACGAUAAAACAACCAAAACUGCCGUCGUCGAUUUCAAAGCUCAGAAACUACGCUUUUGAAGGGAUAUCACACAGUAGAGUUAGUCGUAAAGGAAGAAGUUUCGCCUGGAAACUCUGCAAAACAAAAAAAAAACAUGGUGUAAACUUCGAGCAGAAACUCUGUCCAGUGUUGGAUUCUACGGUCCAGAAGAUGAGCAUUGUGAUUUGUGGUGCCUCCUUUCUACCCAUGCAAAUGGAAGUGGAAUUCAGUUCAGUUUACUUAUUUUCCUAAAAUAAAAUUGAUUUUUUUCAAAUGCAGAGAUUGGAACGAGAGUUAACUGGGAAUCGGUCAGAGCACUAUUCGCUACCUAACCAAUCUAUACGUGGAACGAGACUUAGAACUUGCCGACUGAGCGCAGUAGACUCGACAAAUUAGGAUCCCAGAAGAUGUUUUCAGUCAAAGCGCACCUGGGGUCCCCACUGGUUCACUGGCACAUUAUACCACACUCUUCAAGGGCCGGCUCCGCGACUGAAGUGCUUUCAUUUAAUGAAUAACCGAAGUUCUCUGAGAUGAGAGAGAAGCAGCCGCUACUGUGCAAGAUCAGGCGCGCCCGUGUCGGCGUAGCAGAUUUGGAAGUUGAUAAUUAAUGCUGUCCUGGGGUGCUUGGAGAACAGUUCGGAAUAUGGCGUCAUUCGGAGGAUUGACUUACUUGCGCUAGAUCAGCACAUGGCUAAUUCAACGCAUUGUCUCAUUGUCAUCUAAUUACUUCCCGUCGAGGAAUGUAGGCUAGUGCGCCGACCUUUCCAAGUUCCAGUUGCAAGUGAGCUUCGGAUUUUAUAGACUCUGAAGUUAGAGCACCCUUGACAUCACGCACCUUGUGGUUUAGGGUAUCGAUUGGCACUUAUCUGGUUGUAGAUGUGUUGUAAUAAACAUAAUUAGUGAGAUUUGAUGUGCACAGGGUGCCUUACUAUACAAUGAGUUUGAAUGAGUGGUUUAGGGUACCGAUCGGCACUUAUCUGGUUGUAGACCUGUUGUAAUAAACAUAAUUAGUGAGAUUUGAUGUGCACGGGGUGCCUUACUAUACAAUGAGUUUGAAUGAGUGGUUUAGAGUACCGAUCGGCACUUAUCUGGUUGUAGACCUGUUGUAAUAAACAUAAUUAGUGAGAUUUGAUGUGCACGGGGUGCCUUACUAUACAAUGAGUUUGAAUGAGUGGUUUAGAGUACCGAUCGGCACUUAUCUGGUUGUAGACCUGUUGUAAUAAACAUAAUUAGUGAGAUUUGAUGUGCACAGGGUGCCUUAUUAUACAGUGAGUUUGAAUGAAAUCUGGACUAUGACAUUUAAAGUUCUGUAGCUAGUCUGUUCAUCCAAAUGAUGAGAUGAUACUCAUUCGUUAACCUCGGAUGACCUAAUAUUAACAUGACGGCCAGACUGCCAUCACUAGCUCAAUCGAUCUUGGUUGUCACUACACUGUGAGCAUCAUGAGCAACAUAAGUUUUCCUACGCGUCCUGAUGCAAGAGUUGUUGUAGGGCUGGAUUUUGGAACAACGUUCUCAGGGUUUGGAUAUGCACACAAGUCCGAACCAGAGGGUGUGUGUGUGCUCUACGAAUGGCCAAGGUUCGCUGAGGCAAGCGGGAAGUCGUACUGCAAAACUCAGACAGCUCUGUACUAUAAACCUUCGCGGAAUGGUUUGCAGUUAGAAUCGUGGGGAUGGCAAGCCCAAGUGGAUUACGUCCGAGACUUGGACCUAGUGCAACGAAAGAAUGCUGACAAAAGUACGCUGGGCGAGUUCAUCACCAGGUUCAAGCUCCACCUCGCAGACAAGAGCUCCGGCCCCUUAUCCACCACGCCCUUACCACGAGGCCUCACCACCAAGCAGGUCAUCACCGACUUUUUAAGGGAGAUUGGAAAGUUUAUCAUGGACCAUCUCCGAAACAAGUAUGGCACCCACCUGAGCAUGGAGGAGCUGCAGUGGUGCGUCACGGUGCCCUCCAUCUGGGACGACAAUGCCAAGCAGCAGAUGAAGAGCUUCAUGGAAGGGGCGGGGUUGGUGGGCGGCAACAGGGGCAGCCCUUACCCGGUGAUUAUAGUCCUGGAGCCGGAAGCUGCUGCCGUCUACUGCUUGAAGAAGCUCAGAAACUUCAAACUCAAUCAAGGGGAUAAAUUUUUGGUUGCAGACAUCGGAGGUGGAACAUCCGACAUCGUGGUGCAAGAGAAGGCAAACUCCUCGGGCAGUUUGAAGGUGAAGGAAGUGACAGCGAGCUCCGGUGGCCUGUGUGGCGGCUCCUUCGUAGACCAAGCGUUCAUGAAAUUUAUGUCUGGGAAGAUCGGCUGUCUGGACAAAUUUCUAGAAGGCAAUCCUAGAGUGAAGCUCCAGCUACAGACGUGGUGGGAGCAUGCUAAAAGCUCAUUCGAGGGCGGUGACACGAAUGAAGUACUUUACUGCCAACUCUCUGGAAAGCUGGCCACGUCCUGGGAGGAGCACGAUCCAUCGUAUGUGGGUGAUUACUACACGGUGGAGAUCACCCACAGCGACAUGGUGCAAAUCUUCUCCGGCGUGGUGAACGAAAACAUCAAUCUCAUCAAGGCGCAGCUCCAGCAAACGUCUAACAUCAGGAUGAUAAUGGUCGUGGGCGGGUUCGCUACCUCCAAGUACUUGAUGGCGAAGAUCAAGAAGGCAUUUGAGCCUCGCAUCACAGUUGUGAGCCCCAACGAACCUGGACGCGCGAUCUGCGACGGAGCCGUCAACAUCGGCUUCUUCCCCAAGAACAUUCUAUGCCGAGUUGCCAGGCGCACGUAUGGCAUCAGUAUGUGCGCAGAAUUCGACAGUGAUAUUCAUCCCGAGAGCUUGGCGAAGUACAUUGAUGGCGUCAAGUAUUGUAAUCAUCUGUUUUCUACAUUUGUGAAGGCUGGGAGCACGGUUGAGAUGGAUUUCUCGCAAGAGAAGUACUUCUGGCCGACGUCAAAGAACCAGACGGCUAUUUCUAUCGAGGUGGUCACUACCCAGUCACCUUCGCCGACGUACACUACAGACCCAGGGGUCACUGUGGAAGAGGAAUUCAGUGUGGACAUUUCAUCGAGCUUGUACAUGGCGAAGGAUGAUCGGAAGAUUCUGGUGUCCAUGUUCUUUGGGGGUUCCUGCAUCGAGGUGAAGGCACAGCCUUCUCAUUUUGUUGGGACUCCGGAGGCCGCCGAAAUGAUGCCGGUGAAGUUCGACUGGGCCUGAUCGACGCUCCUUCAUGCACGAGUUUUAGCCUUGACAAGUGUAUAUUUCAGGUUAUAGCUGAGUUUUUGCAAAUAUUCUAAAAUCUUUUUCUAACCAAUCCAUCUCCUAUAUGCCCAUAGUACGACCUCAUUGCCCUGGAAAUCCUCUUGAUGCGUUCAAAAUUUAGGUUAAAAAUUACAUUUUUUGUAUAAUAUUUGUUAAUCUAACAAAAACAUUCUCUAGCUUUUUUUUGUUCUUAUUUUUCUUAUUUUUCCUAACAUAGAAUUCAUAGUCCAUGGUUUUGAAAUCAACAUUAUGGAUAUUUAAAAAGUACUACAAAAGAGGUACUUAAUUCCCAAAAUUCACCAUAUUUCAAACAAAUUCCAACAUCAAGUUCAAUACUAAAUUAACUGAUUCCAACAAUUCCCAAGAAUUGUUACACUUCAUGAUCAAACACAGAAAUGAGUAGGUGGAGAAUAAUAACUUGGUUUAGAUCAUACAACAUAUAAUGUGGUUUACUACAAGGAUCAAGCAACUUAAAAAUGAAGGAAAUAAUUCAAUUAAACAAGAAAAUGAAGAAUUGGCAAGCAUCUGAUAUAGUCCAGCAAUAUUGGCAAGGAAGGCAAAAUGGAUCCGCACACCACCUCUAAUGCAAACUACACCACCUCUAAUCAAGAUGACAGGAUAAUAACUUCUAAUAUAGUUGACAUUCUCUAGUUGUUGCCAAUAGAGAAUGGAUAAUAUCUUCUAAUGUAGCAAGAUGAGGGCACCACUAUCCACUCUUACAAGGCCAAGUUACCUCUCCCAUAAGUUACCUCUCCCAUUGUGUAGAAAUCACUAUUAUUGAUGUUAAUCAUGCAUAUAGACUUAUCAAAUAAUAAGCAACACAUUCAUUUUACAAGUAUUAUCUUAAAACAUAAUGAACACCAAGCGACUACUUUCUAUGUAAAUAUAAGUAAUAUACAAAAAUAACAUAGUCAAAGAAAAAAAAAUCAAACUAUAUUUUAUAUUACCAUGUAAGAAGUCAAAUGAAUGUAUGCAUCCAACACCUUCACUUAUUUAUGUCAACUUUUGAUAACCAAAUGUUACUUAUCAUCUCUCAUUUAGUACUCAAUAGAGAUUGCAAAUAAUGAAAUAUUAUCAUAAAAGUAUCCUUGUGAUUAUAUCUAUAAUUUGGUUGUGAGUUCAAAUAUAAUAAAAAUUUACUUGCUAUUUCUUCCAAACCGACAAAUAAAUUUCUUUAGAAUUUAUUUAGAGUUUUUUAGGAAUUUUUAAAAAAAGUUUCAAAACUUUGAUAAAAUUUAGUGUCUUUAUUCAGGCUAUCUUUGUAAGUUAUAAUUUUAUUAAAAUAGAUUUGAAGACUAUUGAAGGUUUCUUAUCUAAUUGGAUAUUUUUGAAUAUCAUAGUAAAGUCAAAAAUCCAAAAAUAUUAGUUUUACUAGUAGAAAAUAGGAGGACCAAUAGCUAGUCUACUCCUUGUAGAAAAGGAGAUGCACGAGUCUCAUAUAGAUUGUAGCACCUUAAAUAUAGUUAGGAGGAUAAGACUAAGACCUUGUGGCCUCUCUUUAAAAUCCAAAUAUACUAUAUGCAAGCCAUUAUGAGGUUCAAAUCUUUGAUCUAUAAGCAAGUUAUGCUUUAGGUAAAAUAUUUUUAUUUAACUUUUUAUUUAUAUACUUAUUAUCUUUAAACCUUCAUAACUUACUUUAAUCCUAUAUAAACAUAUUGAUGAAGAUUUAAACCUUUAUAACUUUUUAUUUAUAUACUUAUUAUCUUUAAACCUUCUUUAAAAAAAUUAAAUUAUUUAAAAAAUAUAUAUUUUUUAUUUUGUAAUUUUACUUUCUAUUAGAUAAAAACUUAGUAGAUAGAUUGUAAUCAAAUUUUGGGAUAUGUAAUUGCUUAAUUUUAUUUAUUUCACUUAUUUUGUCUUUAUUCAGGCUAUCUUUUAUUGAAGAAACACAAUAAGUAAGACACAAGUAAGUAGAAAUCAGCAAGGUUAGACACAAGAGAAGUGUAGAAUGAGAUACCUCUCACUUCCAACACCUUUUACUUAUAGGUAGAGAUUACAUCCAUUUUGGCUAGCAUUCAUCUUACUUUCAUCCAACUUAACCCUAAAUUCUUCUUAACCUAGCCGCCACUUUAAACCCUAACUGCCACCUACAAUCUUAGCCACCACCUAUAAUUCUAACCGCCAUUUAUAAUCCUAGCCGCCACCUUGAUAACUUUCCUUCAUCUUUUUGCUGCCCUUUGACCAUUAGCAACUUAUCCAAGAUAAUAUCUUUUACCUUCUAUCUUAUCUUUCAUUUACUUUAACACUCCCACUUUGCUAUUGGUCAAAGGCUAAUAAAUCUAAUUCCUUUGUCAAUUUAUAAUGUCUAUCCUUCACCAAUGCUUUUGUGAAUAAAUCAACAAGCAUGUCUUCCAUUGCACAAUACUUUAUGUCAAUUACUCCCAUCUCAAUCUUCUCCCGUAUGAAGUCAUGUUGAAUGUCAAUGUGCUUUGUCUUUGAAUGAUGCUUUGGAUUCUUGGCAAAAGCAAAGCAUCCUUGAUUGUCACACUUCAUUGGAGUUGCUUCCAAUUGCACAAGUCCAAUAUCUUCUAAAACUUGUCUUAGCCAUAUUGCCUCCAUUGCACCAUGACUUGCUACCAUGUAUUCCGCCUCCAUUGCACCAUGACUUGCUACCAUGUAUUCCGCCUCCAUUGUAGACCUUGCAAUUAUUGGUUGUCUCUUGUAAUUCCAUGAAAUUGCUCCCACUCCAACACAAAAGACAUAUCCCAUUGUUGAUCUUCUAUCAUUUGUAUCUCCAAUCCAAUCUGCAUCACAAUAUCCAUGUAAUGUAAUACUAUUACCUCUAAGGCACAAUUUGAAGUUCAAAGUGCCUUUAAGGUACCUCAAAAUCUUCUUAAUGGUUGCCCAAUGAAUUGGUCCAUCCUUUGACAUGUGUUGACUCACAACACUCACUACAUAUGUAAGAUCCACCUUUGUAUCAACUAUUGCAUACAUAAGUGAGUCUACUGAUACCUUGUAUGGAACAUCUUUCAUUUCUUCUUCAACUUCAACAAAUUCCUCAUCUGUGAGCUUCAUCAACUUCAAAUUUACCUCUAAAGGUAUUCCAAUGGACUUCCACUCCUCCAUGUUGAACCGUUUCAAUACUUCUUCAAUGUACUUCUUUUGGCUCAAUGUUAUGAUCUUUUUAGCUCGAUCUCUCACAAAUUCCACUUCUAAGAAAUAGUGGAGCUCUUCCAAAUCACUCAUUUCAAAUUCUUUUGCUAGCUUUGCCUUCAACCAAUCCAUCAUUUUUAAAGUAUUGGUCAAGAUGAUUAAAUCAUCAACAUAAAGAAUAACAAUCAGCAAGAAGGCUUUUGAUUACAUCACAUACAUGGAAUGAUCAGCCUCACUCUUCACAAAUCCUUCAUUCACAAAGAAAGAAUCGAUACGUUGGUACCAUGCCCUUGAUGAUUACUUAAGCCCAUACAAAGAUUUCAUCAACUUACACACAAGGUGUUAUUUGCUUUCUUCAACAAAUCCUUGAGGUUGAUCCAUGUAGAUGACUUCUUCCAAUUCUCCAUUCAAGAAAGCCGUCUUCACAUCCAUUUGGUGCAUCUCCAAGUCCAUUGCUGCCUCAAUUACCACAAUGGUUCUUAUGGUGGUGACUUUGGCCAUGGAAGCAAAUAUCUCAUUGAAAUCAACACCAGUAACUUGUGAGUAGCCUUUGGCAACCAAUCUUACCUUAUACUUUACAACAUUGCCCAUUACAUCCCUCUUUGUUUAAAACACCCACUUACAACCAAUUGAAGCUCGAUUUGGUAGAAGUAAACUCAAUUUCCAUGUUUCAUUAUCCAUGAGUGAUUUGUAUUCUUCUUCUAUAACAUUCUCCUACUUCAACCCAUCCCUAGACUUCAUUGCAUCACAUAAACUCAACGAAUCAGCAAGAAGUACAACAUUAGCAUGUUCUUUACUUACUUGAGGAAAAAUGUAGUCCUUCCACCAUUCACCAUGUUGUUUUCUCUCUCAAAGGAUAUUUCCUUUCAUUUGAAGAAGACUCAACUUGUUGCACUCCAUGGUCACCUCCAACCUUCUUUUCUUUUGAAGAUAGUCUUUUUUCACUCAAAGGUUCAUAAUCCUCAUCACCAUCAUCAUCUACACCUUCAUGCUCUUCAUUAUUGGUGUAAGCAAUUGUAGACACCUUCUUGUCCAUCUUCUUUGCCUCUUCAUCUUCAUUUCCAUCUUUACAACCAUCAUUAUCUUUGUCUUCUUCCUUCUUUGCUGAAUUUGAAGAUGUGUCCACAAACAUACCAUUUCUCUUACUUGGACAUAUUUCUAAGUACUCACAAGCACUCUUGUGCUCCAAAAACUCAACAUCACGACUUUUGAUGAUCUUUUUAGUAUCCAAAUACAUGAGUCUAUAAGCCUUUGUACCUUCACAAUAUCCAACAAAUACACAUUUUGUACCUUUUUCAUCAAAUUUUGAUCCCAUACAAUCUGAUAUCUUUGCAUAUGCUAUGCAUCCAAAGGUCUUUAUGUGAGAAACACAAGGUUUUCUUCCACUCCAAGCUUCUUCCGGUGUCAUUGAUGUAAGUGCACUUGUAGGACAUCUAUUUUUUAUGUAUAUUGCAUUCACCACUACUUUCGUCCAAAACUCAUGUCCAAGAUGUUGUACAUGAAGCAUACUCCUUGCCAUCUCCACAAUGGUCUGAUUUGCUCUUUCAGCAACUCUAUUUUAUUGUGAAAUGUAAGGAGUGGAGGUUUGUCUUGCAAUACCAUGCAAUUUUAAUAAAUCAUUGAAUUGCUUUGACAUAUACUCACCUCCAUUGUCUGUAUGUAAUACCUUGAUUUUGCAUUCACAUUGCUUCUCCACAAGUGCCUUAAAUUCCUUAAACCUUGUGAAACACUCACUCUUUUCUUUGAGGAUGAAAAUCCAUACUUUCCUUAAAAAGUCAUCAAUGAAUGAGAAAAAAUACCUUGCACUUCUUAUUGAUGGCAUCCUCAUAGGUCCACAAACAUCAGAAUAAACAAUCUCCAAUAACUUGGUUGUACGUGUUGCAACUCCACUUGGAAAUGAGGCCCUUUGUUGUUUGCCUUGAAUACAACCUUCACAAGUAAGUGUCAUAGCAUUGUAGCUUAUAUGACCAAGAUCUAAGCCACUUACUAUGGAUUGGAGCUCUUUCAUGCUCUUGGCAUUCAAAUGACCAAGGCAUUGAUGCCAAAUGCCAAACUUGUCUUGAUCUUGAAGAAAUUCAGUAAAUGCCGCCACUUCAAUUCCAUUCACCUUCUUACACUUGAUGAAGUAGAUGUUGCCAUCUCUAAAGCCCUUUGCAAUAUAAUCUCCUUCCAAUGUCUUUACAAAACACCCAUUCUUAUCAAAUUACACUUUACAACCAUGUGAAACAAGUUUACUCUCUGAGAGGAGGUUUUUCUUCAUCUUUGGUACAUGUAAGACGUCCUUCAAUCUGAUCCUCUUGAUUUGGCCUUUCACAACAAUCUCUAUAACAAUGGAGCCCAUUCCAAUAGCUUGUACUAUGCCAUUGUCUCCCAUGAGGAUAUUUGUUCUUGAAAUCUCUUCAUAAGUAUCAAAUGAACACUUGUAUGGAGUCAUGUGCUUGGUGGCACCAGAAUCAAUGAUCCACUUGGACAUGGCAGCCAUGGAAGUGCCUUUACUUGCCGUGAAUGCAUAAUCAUCACCUCCAUAUUCAUCACGAGCAUUAUUUGUACUUUCUUUAUCUCCUUUCUUAGCCUUGUAGUAAUUUCGAGCAAAGUGACCUCGUUUUUCACAAAUGAAGCAAGUUCUCACAUUGCCAUGUUAGUUAGAAUGACUCCCCUUACCUUGUCUUGAAAAGAGAUCCGAAUCCUCUCUUUGGGGCUCUUUUUCUUUGUUCUUGGUGACUUCAUGGGCAAGUCUUGCGGUGACAUAAUCCAUUGUGAGUUCUUUUAUCUUGAUGGACUCCAAUGCCACAAUGAAGUAGUUAUAGGACUCGAAAAGGUUCAUAAGCAAGGUCAUGAUAAUAUCACUCUCUUCUAAAGGCUUGUCAAUAAUUGCAAGUUGAUUAGCAAGGGCUUUUACCUUGUUGACAUGAGCCAUGAGGUCUUCACCUUCUUUCAUCUUGCAAGUGAAGAAUUUCUUCCUUGUAAAGAUGAUAUUAGACGAGUUUUUACUCUCAUAUAUGUUGCAAAGAGUCUUCUAUGCUUCUGCAAGAGAUGAUGUGAGAAACAUUUGCUUCAUCCAAAUUAGUGGCAAUCAUGCGAAAAGCCUUCUUUUCACGUCUUGUGAUGUCCUUCCUCUCUUUAGCAUCAGCAUGUGUGCUUGGAGGCUCUUCACUUUUAUCUACAAUGUUACAAAGGUCCACAGACCCCAACAAAAGCUCCAUUUUGACCUUCCAAUGGUAAAAAUUGUCACCUCUAAACUUUUCAAUCAGUCUCAAACCUUCACCCUCACUUGAAGCCAUGUCUUAGAAGAGGUCUAUCAAAAAAUAUCAAGAAAAGGAGUCUCUAUGUGCUUAAAAUCACCAAAAUAAUUUUGUACUGGCAAAAUCUCAGAAUGCCCUCUUGUAAACACAUGAAUGUUUCUUCACUCCAAACACUCCAAAAUCAACUUUCGAAGCUUCUAACAAGUAUGUUGACUUCAAUCAACCUAACCAUCAAGUUCUUUCACUCAUAUAACUCACUUUCUCACUACAACACCAAAGACACUAUCAAGGUCUUUGUAUAAGGUCUUAAUCACUCAAUCCUAAGAAUUAAGAACCUUCAAACUGAUGUUAGAGAACUAUAAGGCCCAAAUUAGAACCUCCACAAGUCAAAACACAAGAUUAGAUCAUAUAAUCCCUAACAUCAACAAAUACCAUAAGAUCUAUUCCACACAAGAACAAAAACUAGCAAAUGACUUCAAUAUUCUUGAAUAGCACAACAAAGUGUGUGUGGGCCCAUAACCUUUUGAAGAAACACAAUAAGCAAGACACAAGUAAGUAGAAAUCAGCAAGGUAAGACACAAGAGAAGUAUGGAAUGAGAUACCUCUCACUUCCAACAUCCUUUACUUAUAGAUAGAGGUUAGAUCCAUUUUGGCUAACAUUCAUCUUACUUUCAUCCAACUAAACCCUAAAUUCCUCUUAACCUAGUCGCCACUUUAAACCCUAAUUGCCACCUACAACCCUAGCCACCACCUAUAACUCUAACCGCCACUUAUAAUCCUAGCCGCCACCUUAGUAACUUUCCUUCAUCCUUUUGCUGCCUUUUCACCAUUAACAACUUAUCUAAGAUAAUAUCUUUUACUUUCUACCUUAUCUUCCAUUUACUUUAACAUCUUUAUGAGUUAUAAAAUUGACUUAUUUUUAUAUAAUUAUAUAGAAGUAGAUAUUUAAUUUUUUUUCUUUUCUUCUUUGCUUUCAUGUAUUAGAUUAAAUUUUAUAGAUCGUGGAGUAGGCAUUGGCCAUAUAUUAAAUUUUAUUAUUUUAUUUUAUUUUAUUUUAUUUUUGUAUGUUCUUGUUGGAAAAGAUUUGUGAUGGAGUAGUACAUAGCAAGGGGCAACAUUGGUACUAUGGUUUCUUUGGAGUACUAUUGCUAUUUUUUCUUUGAUUGUCAUAUUGAUAGGUAUUAAAGUACUUUUUUUAUAUUGAUUGAGUUGUCAUCAACAAAAGUCGGCAUUCUCAAUUAUAGUUUCACAUGGUUCUAGUGGCAAAUGUUACUAUUUUUAUGCUCACAUAUUGCAACAAACUGCUAUAGAGUAGUUAUGAUUAAGUUGUUUGUUUUUUCUUUCUAUGCAUAGUUAAAAAGCACUGUGUAUUGUUAUGCAGUUCUAAUCUUUUUGUAAUUAUUCUUUUAUUUAGUGAGAUACAUAGUGUAUUGUAUCACUUAGCAUUGAUAAGAUUGUCAAUCAAUUUUUUGUAAUUGGUUUCUUUUGUUUAGAGUUGAAUGCUCUAUAGAAUUUGAAAUUCUAGAGAAGUUUUUUUUUAUUUUUCUCUCAAGUUGAUAUUGUGAUAUACUGAUUAGAGAGUGAUAAUUUUUUCUUUUUUUUUACUAUUGCAGAGCGUGCUAAUAAUUAUAGUUACAAUUUUGUAGCUACAAAGUUAUAUCACAACUAAUUUGAUAUAUUAAUGCUUGAUCAGCUGAGUAGAGUUAAUUUGUUACUUUGUGCAAAAUAGAUUUACAAAAAAAUUCUAGUAGUUACUAUUGUUGAUGAUCAAGACAAGUGGGUGUGACAAGAUAGUGAAUUAUUUACAUUAUAGUGGAGCAACUGAUUUUGAUUGCCAAUUGUGAGACAUCAAAUUGACUCACUAGUUGUUUUAAUACAAAAGUAUGUAUGUAAAGUACCAAAAUUAUAAUUUUUAGGUGAAGAUGUGCUUAGAGGAUGUCAAAUGAAGAAGAAUAAUAUUAGUGGAGAAGAAACAGAGUCUUAGUAAGUCUUGGAGGUAAUUAUUUUAGUUGAUUUAGUAUUUUUUAUUUUUGAGUAUUGAAGAAUAUUUACUAAAGUCAAUAUUCAUAUUGGCUUUAUAUAUAUAUAUAUAUAUAAGAAAAAAUAUAAAUAUUUAUCAAAGACAAGAACAUAAUAGUUAGCUUGUUCUAUAAGCUACAAAUAUAUAUAGCAUAUAAUUAGGUUAUUGACUAAGUUUUAAACCUAUCUAUAAAUUACAAAUAUAUAUAAAGUCAAUACAAUAGCUACAAAGCUUCUAAAAAGCUUUUCUAGAAGAUAUUAUAAAAUUAAUCUAUUUUUACUUAUUUCUAUCUAUUUAUAUUAUCUAAGUAAUAAAUAUAGUAGAUAUAUAUCCAUGAUAUUAUUCCUCCUUCUAGAAACAAGUUUCAUGAAGAGCGGUAAUUACAUCUUGAAGAAGUCUAAGAUAUGGUGAAUUGUAUUUGCCAUAUACUCUGAUCUUUGUUCUCUUUGAAGGAAGUUGAUAGGUCCUCUCAGCCAUCAAUAAUGUCCAAUUUGAGGUUGAGAAGAUUACCUUGUGAUUUGAUCAUUGUUGAAAUCUUCGUAACUUUCUUCAAUUGUACCUUUAUUAUUGUAUGUAAUUCAAAUAAUUAAUUUGUCAAAUCUUUUGUCAUAGGAUUAUUAACCUUUAAAAAGUCAAAAGUAUUAAGUCAUAGAUGAUAUCUAUAAUUAGUAAAAAAUAUAUUUAUUAUAUAAAAAAAUAUAUUAUAGUACUAUAAGCAAAUUUUGCUAAUAGUAAAAAAAUUAUUCAAUCAUCUUAUUGAUAGUUGAUGGUGUAUCUCAAAUACUACUUCAAAACUUGAUUUACACACUCUAUUUUUCCAUUAGUUUGAAGAUGGAAAGUAUGAAGAUAGUUUAAUAUCCACUUUUAAAGUCUUAAAAAUUGUUCUUCAAAAUCUUGAUAUAAACUUAAUUUGUCUAUCUAAUAUAAUAUCCUUAGAUAAUCCAUGAUAGCAAUAGAUGUUGUCUAAAACAAGCUUGAUUAUUUUCUUUACCUGUGAUAGUUUUUGUAUAUGAUACAAAAUAUGUUAUCUUAGUGAAACAAUCUACUAUCACAAAUAGAAUCAUAAGAACUUGAGAUUAGAAGAUCCGUAAUAAAAUCUAUAGAAAUAGAAGACUAUAAUUAUUUUGGAGUGGAUAAUGGUUGAAGAAGUCUAUAGGAUUGAUGAUAAGAAGUUUUUGACUUUAAACAAACAUCAAAUGAAUGAACAUGGCCUUUCGCUGCCUUCCACAUUUGUGGCUACUAAAAAUCUCUAAAUAUAAAUUAUAAAAUCUUGUUAUAUCCAAAAUAUCCGAUUGUUGGAAAGUCAUAACAUGCUUGAAGAACAUGUUAUCGUAAUAUGUAAAGUCUUGUUUGAGAAUGCUCCGGGCAUCUAGCUGUGGAAUGUAGAAUAGAAAUUGCAACAAAAAAAUCCUAAUUUUAAUAGAAUACUAACAAUGCUAAACAAGCUUUAAUCAAAUUCAAAGAAACCUCAAAGGAAUUCUAAAGAAAAAAUAAGAAAUCUUAAAGAAAUAUUAUAAUGAUUACAAACAUAUCUCAAAUACAUCUCAAUUCAAUCUUAAUUUAAUCCUAGUUGAAAUCUUACUUCAUUCAAACUUUAGGCCAAAAACUAACUAAAUCUUAAAUCCUAAAUAAACUCAAAUGAAAUCCUAAAUCCUAAAUCAAAUCCUGAUCAAAUCCUAAUUAAAUCUUAAAUCCUAACCAAACUCUAAAUCCUAAACUAAACUCUAAUCCUAAAUCAAAUCCUAACCAAAUCCUAAACCUAAAUCAAAUCCUAAUCCUAAAUCAAAUCCUAAUCAAAUCCUAAAUUCUAAUCCUAAAUCAAAUCUUAACUAAAUCCUAAACCAAACCCUAAUUAAAUCCUAAUCCUAAAUCAAAUCCUAACCAAAUCUUAACUCUAAAUCAAAUCCUAACCAAACCCUAAAUCUUAAACCAAACCCUCAA
rnacentral:lncRNA from 1 species